rnacentral:rRNA from 1 species
UAGGGAAUAUUGCGCAAUGGAGGAAACUCUGACGCAGCGACGCCGCGUGGGUGAUGAAGGCUUUCGGGUCGUAAAGCCCUGUCAGGAGGGAAGAAAAACAUUGUGGCUAACAUCCACGAUGCUUGACGGUACCUCCGGAGGAAGCACCGGCUAACUACGUGCCAGCAGCCGCGGUAAUACGUAGGGUGCAAGCGUUGUUCGGAAUCAUUGGGCGUAAAACGCGUGUAGGCGGUUAGGUAAGUCGGGUGUGAAAUCCCUGGGCUCAACCCAGGAAGGGCAUCCGAAACUACCUAGCUAGAGGAUGGUAGAGGAAGGUGGAAUUCCUAGUGUAGAGGUGAAAUUCGUAGAUAUUAGGAGGAAUACCGGUGGCGAAGGCGGCCUUCUGGGCCGUUCCUGACGCUGAGACGCGAAAGCGUGGGUAGCAAACAGGAUUAGAUACCCCCGUAGUCC